CCGGCAAUAGCUCAGUUGGUAGAGCGUCCGACUGUAGAUCGGAUGGUCCCUGGUUCGAUUCCGGGUUGCCGGA
rnacentral:tRNA from 1 species